GGCAGAGUAGCAUAGUGGUAGGGAGCAGGGCUUGUAACUGAAGGUUGCCGGUUCAAUUGCCGGCACUGCCG